UACAGAGACCUCAAGCGUUAUCCGGAAUCAUUGGGCGUAAAGCGUACCGAUAGGGGGUUUUACAAGUCAGAAGUGAAAUCUUAAGGCUUAACCUUGAGUCUGUCUUUUGAAACUGUAAAACUAGAGGGGCAAAGAGGAAGCUGGAACGAACGGUGUAGUAGCGAAAUGCGUUGAUAUCGUUCGGAACACCAAUAGCGUAGGCAAGCUUCUGGGUGCCACCUGACACUGCUAGGACGAAAGCGUGGGUAGCGAAUGGG
rnacentral:rRNA from 1 species